GGGGGGGGGGGGGGGGGGGCUGGGGGGGGGCGGGGGGGGCGGGAGGGGCGUGCGUGGGGGGGGUGCGCGAGUGGCGGACGGGUGAGUAACACGAGUAACCUGGCCUUGGCGUUGGGAUAACGGCAGUAAACGGGGGCAACUACCGGCUAUGCCCUCCUGCUGCAGGGGGGGGGUUGGAACGCUUCGGCGGAUGGGGAUGGACCCGGGGCUUAUCAGCUUGUUGGUGGGGUAGUGGCUUACCAAGGCUUUGACGGGUAGCCGGCCUGAGAGGGUGGCCGGCCACAUUGGGACUGAGAUACGGCCCAGACUCCUACGGGAGGCAGCAGUGGGGAAUAUUGCACAAUGGGCGGAAGCCUGAUGCAGCAACGCCGCGUGCGGGAUGACGGCCUUCGGGUUGUAAACCGCUUUCGCCUGUGACGAAGCGUGAGUGACGGUAAUGGGUAAAGAAGCACCGGCUAACUACGUG
rnacentral:rRNA from 1 species